GAUGAACGCUGGCGGCGUGCCUAACACAUGCAAGUCGAACGAAGCAAUUAAGAUGAAGUUUUCGGAUGGAAUCUUGAUUGACUGAGUGGCGGACGGGUGAGUAACGCGUGGAUAACCUGCCUCACACUGGGGGAUAACAGUUAGAAAUGACUGCUAAUACCGCAUAAGCGCACAGUGCCGCAUGGCAGUGUGUGAAAAACUCCGGUGGUGUGAGAUGGAUCCGCGUCUGAUUAGCCAGUUGGCGGGGUAACGGCCCACCAAAGCGACGAUCAGUAGCCGACCUGAGAGGGUGACCGGCCACAUUGGGACUGAGACACGGCCCAAACUCCUACGGGAGGCAGCAGUGGGGAAUAUUGCACAAUGGGCGAAAGCCUGAUGCAGCGACGCCGCGUGAGUGAAGAAGUAUUUCGGUAUGUAAAGCUCUAUCAGCAGGGAAGAAAAUGACGGUACCUGACUAAGAAGCCCCGGCUAACUACGUGCCAGCAGCCGCGGUAAUACGUAGGGGGCAAGCGUUAUCCGGAUUUACUGGGUGUAAAGGGAGCGUAGACGGCGAAGCAAGUCUGAAGUGAAAACCCAGGGCUCAACCCUGGGACUGCUUUGGAAACUGUUUUGCUAGAGUGUCGGAGAGGUAAGUGGAAUUCCUAGUGUAGCGGUGAAAUGCGUAGAUAUUAGGAGGAACACCAGUGGCG
rnacentral:rRNA from 1 species